UUGAUAAUAUUGUAACACAUCCGAUAAUACUAUAACGAUACAAAUAAAAUUAGCAUAGCCGCUGUGUCACGAUGACUCGUAUAAAUAUAAAAAUGAUACAAUUAUGU
rfam:Brassica oleracea var. oleracea cultivar TO1000 chromosome C9, whole genome shotgun sequence